GAUGAACGCUGGCGGCGUGCCUAAUACAUGCAAGUCGAGCGAACAGACGAGGAGCUUGCUCCUCUGACGUUAGCGGCGGACGGGUGAGUAACACGUGGAGAACCUACCUAUAAGACUGGGAUAACUUCGGGAAACCGGAGCUAAUACCAGAUAAUAUAUUGAACCGCAUGGUUCAAUAGUGAAAGACGGUUUUGCUGUCACUUAUAGAUGUAUCCGCGCCGCAUUAGCUAGUUGGUAAGGUAACGGCUUACCAAGGCAACGAUGCGUAGCCGACCUGAGAGGGGGAUCGGCCACACUGCAACUGAGACACGGUCCAGACUCCUACGGGAGGCAGCAGUAGGGACUCUCCCGCAAUGGGCGAAAGCCUGACGGAGCAACGCCGCGUGAGUGAUGAAGGUCUUCGCAUCGUAAAACUCUGUUCUUAGGGAAGAACAACUGUGUAAGUAACUAUGCACGUCUUGACGGUACCUAAUCAGAAAGCCACGGCUAACUCCGUG
rnacentral:rRNA from 1 species